rnacentral:rRNA from 1 species
GUGGGGAAUAUUGGACAAUGGGCGAAAGCCUGAUCCAGCCAUGCCGCGUGUGUGAAGAAGGUCUUCGGAUUGUAAAGCACUUUAAGUUGGGAGGAAGGGCAGUAACCUAAUACGUUAUUGUUUUGACGUUACCGACAGAAUAAGCACCGGCUAACUUCGUGCCAGCAGCCGCGGUAAUACGAAGGGUGCAAGCGUUAAUCGGAAUUACUGGGCGUAAAGCGCGCGUAGGUGGUUCAGUAAGUUGGAAGUGAAAUCCCCGGGCUCAACCUGGGAACUGCUUUCAAAACUGCUGAGCUAGAGUACGGUAGAGGGUGGUGGAAUUUCCUGUGUAGCGGUGAAAUGCGUAGAUAUAGGAAGGAACACCAGUGGCGAAGGCGACCACCUGGACUGAUACUGACACUGAGGUGCGAAAGCGUGGGGAGCAAACAGGAUUAGAUACCCCGGUAGUCC